rnacentral:rRNA from 1 species
AUACGUAGGGUGCGAGCGUUGUCCGGAAUUACUGGGCGUAAAGAGCUCGUAGGUGGUUUGUCGCGUCGUCUGUGAAAUUCCGGGGCUUGACUCCGGGCGUGCAGGCGAUACGGGCAUAACUUGAGUACUGUAGGGGAGACUGGAAUUCCUGGUGUAGCGGUGAAAUGCGCAGAUAUCAGGAUGAACACCGGUGGCGAAGGCGGGUCUCUGGGCAGUAACUGACGCUGAGGAGCGAAAGCAUGGGUAGCGAACAGGAUUAGAUACCCUGGUAGUCCAUGCCGUAAACGGUGGGCGCUAGGUGUAGGGGUCUUCCACGACUUCUGUGCCGUAGCUAACGCAUUAAGCGCCCCGCCUGGGGAGUACGGCCGCAAGGCUAAAACUCAAAGGAAUUGACGGGG